UAAAAUGAUGACUGUUGUAUUGUGAUGACAAAUCAUUCAGCAAAAAAUGAAAAAGGUGCAAAAUGUAGCUUUGAAUGAGAAACACGAUUGUCCUCGACUGUCCACUUUGGUAACUUUAUGUUCAUUCCCUAAAUGGCUAACAGUGGGGGUCUCUUCAGGUUGUAGCUUUGUGACUUAUGGGGUGGCUUUUUUAUCUUUUUUUUGGGGGGGGGGGAUGCAUCUUCUGUAUUAAAUUGUCCUUCAUAAUACUCUUAUUUGUUGAGGCUGCGUAUUUACAGUGUAAAUGUACACCAAAGAUUCACCUGUGUUUUUUGUUUUACAGCAGUGGUGUCCAAGGUGCGGUCCGGGGCCUUGAGAAAAUAUAACAUCACAAGAACACGUAAAAAACGUAAAAUUUUACAACAACAAAGACGAAAAUAUCAUAAGAAAAUGUCAUAAUUGAGGAAAAUUGCAUAGUUGAUAUUAAAGUAGGAGUAGUACCAUCAAAUCAAUACACACAAAGAAAAGUAAUAUUUUUGUAUUUCGAGCAAAGCUAACCUGUUUUACUAGCUUCUAAAUACAACUUUUAACACUAAUAGAGCGCUGUAGACAUUAAAUAACACCCCUAUAGUCACUAUUUACACUCAUAUUACCCAAUCUGGUAGAAAAUAAGACAAAAGCAUUGUGAGAGUUCUGUUUCUUUGCUGACACCUAGUGGCCAGUGUAGAAUACUGCAUAUGUACAGUGUCUUUAAAUGUGUAUUGUGAAUGUCUUAUUUGUAUUUGUGUUCAUUUAGUCAUUUUUAUUCACGGUAAAAAAAAACGGCAGCGGAGUGCUAACAAAAUGUUAGCAUAAACGUUUACGCUGAUGCUUUCCCAUUUUAAAUUUUUAAUGUAAAUUGACUGUACAUUUUACUUUAAAUCAAAUAUUACUGUAAAAAUGACAGCAUUACUGCUGUUUUAUUUACAGUAGUUUAAAAUGCUUAAUUUGGGCAAAUAAUAUACACAUUUUGCAUAAAUUUGCAUAUUUUUCAACAAAUAACAGGCUGUAUUUAAUCCUAAAACGAUAAUCUUAUUAUAUAUUUAUAAUAAUAAAUAUAUUUGUAUAUAUUUAGUAUUUUAACCUGAACAGACUAUGGACCUCUGUUGGCUCGUUUACUGUAUUUAGUGUCAUUCAUCUGUGCUCCACUAGAGGGCAGUGUUGCUCCAAUGAUGGUGAUUACAUGCGGAAGUACCAUCUUUUAUGUCAGGGAGAAACGUUUAGGACUUUAAGGCUGCUUUUUUUAGGGCAGGGGGGCAAACAUGAGGACAAAGCAGGUAAGGACACUUCAGUAUCCAGUGGGUGAUUCCAUUGAUGGGCUCAAACUUCAUCCAUCAUCAAAGGAAAGGAGCAGACGAGAGAAGCAAUGCAGCUGUGGUAAUUGGUAAUUGGUCUCCGGUGUGUGUUAAUUGGUAAUUGGUCUCAGGUGUGUCUCCUCCCUCCUCACUCUUUUCUCCUUCCUCCUCCAGCCUCCAGCAGGACCUGCAAGGACGAGGAGCCAACAGUAGAGAGCAGCAAAGCCAAAUAAAAGACACGAAGGAGCGUGGAAGUUUGCUGGAGCCAAAUGAAAGUCGGCGUCGGGCGUGCAUGACAAACACCAGCAUGUUGCUGAUUCCUCUGCCAACUGGCUGAUUAGCUGGACUUCCAACGGCAGCUGGUCAUCGUCUGCAGAAUUCCGCUUGAUGUGCCAAGAUGGCUACCACGGAGACUCCACGUGGACUUUGUUAGACGGAACGUAGUCUCACUUGACAGACCUACAGCUGGACCUCGUGUGUGGCUGCAGCCGCUCCAAGAUGAGCUGUGGGAUCAAGGAAAAUCUGAAAUAUUCCACCUCCAUUGUCGGCAAAAGGAUCAUAAGUUACGAAACGUAGGAGAGCGAAGGCAAACAUGGCAGCACGACAUGUAACAGGGAAGGACCGAGGAAGCCAAUAACAAGCCCAUACAAACCACUUCCUUCCUGUGGGCACAGCCUUCUGAUCAACUUUCCAGUUGGAUCCUCCUGGCUGAUCCCCAGGCGUUCCCAGGCCAGUCGAGACAGUCUCUCCAUCCUGGUCGGAUGCACCCUGAGCGACUUCCAGGGAAGCAUCCUGACCAGAUGCCCGAGCCACUGGUGAGGGUGAAGGAAUCAAACAUCUGUGAAGGCGUGGCUCAUGGCUCAUGGCUGACGACCCUGAAUAAGACGCUAUGAGGUGGGCCCACCUGUCCUCGCGACUUCCGUGGAUCUCUGCCAUGACGGCACCUCUCCAGGGCUCUGAUGUGUGUGUAGGCUCUUUACUUCACACGAGCCGCCUCCAUUUACACGUCCAGAACAACCCUGAUGGAAGCCUCGGGAUAUUCGCUUUCAUCUUAUCCAACGACAGACCCCCCCCUCCCGCGUAUUGGAAAAGUGGGAAUGGGACUUCGGGAGGUCACGUUCAAAGCCAACGCAAAGCCGACUACUGACUAAAGAAGCCAGCGUGGAUCCCCUGAUAUCCAUCUCCCCACUUGUUGCUCCUUAUCUGCCCUCCAGCGUCUCCUGCUGCUGGUGUGGACGCGCCGAGAGGAGGAGGAGGAGGAGGAGGAGGAGGGCGCGCACAUUGCGCACAUCCACGCAGACGCCGCUCGGAUGCACACCUACGGUCACCCCCCCUGUCCCCCCUCCCUCCUGCUCCUCUCCUCAUCGCGCAAGAACCGACCGACCUAUCUGGAGGAAAGUUCUGUCAUUCCUUCUCCCUUUUUUUUUUCCCAAUCUCGCCACACCUCCUCCCUUCUCUCCCCUCAGGGGGAGGCACAUUGUCUGUGGCGCAGUGUCCGGUUUCAAGCUGCACGGCGCGCUCUCUCCUGCGUGGGUCACAAAUAGAAGCGAGAGGUCCGGACGGAGGAGGUUCUGCUGAGGGACACACGGAGCUCCGGACGCGGCGCAGAUUGAGGAUAUUUUCAGUAUUCAUCUUCGGUCUUCACUCCUUCUUCUUCUUCUUCUUCCCCACGGACAAGACGCGCGGCUCACCUGGUGCGCCUCUCGGAUGCUCUUGGCCCCUGCGGCCUGAGGAGAAGUGAGCCAAGCCCAGGCCCCCAUGGGACGCCCCGUUAGCCGGCAUGCGCUGCUGCUGCUGCUGCAGUGCAUGCUGGUGCUGCGGCUCGGAGGCGUGGCCGGCAGGAGAGGGCCCGUGCUGCUACCUGAGUCGCCGUGUCACAAGAUGGAGCACCCCGUCAUCCCUCACUUGGGCAUGGAGCCGUGGAUGUUCCGGUUCAAGGCAGAGGGCACCGUGGAUUACUCGCAGCUGACCUUUGACCCCGGCCAGAACGAACUGAUUGUGGGUGCCAGAAAUCACCUCUUUCGUCUCAAUCUGGAGGAUUUGACACUGAUCCAGGAGGCUGAGUGGCACUGUGAUGAGUUCACCAAGGGAGCCUGCUUCAGCCGUGGAAAGUCUGAGGAGGAGUGCCAGAACUACAUCAGGGUCCUGCUGGUCAACGGGAACCGCUUGUUUACCUGCGGGACCAACGCCUUCACUCCCAUCUGCACCAACCGCACGCUGACAAACCUCACCGAGAUCCACGAUCAGAUCAGCGGAAUGGCUCGCUGUCCUUACAACCCCCUACACAACUCCACCGCCCUCAUCACGUCCAGCGGGGAGCUCUACGCGGCCACCGCUAUGGACUUCUCUGGGCGGGACCCCGCCAUCUACCGCAGCCUGGGCGGCCUGCCGCCCCUGCGCACAGCCCAGUACAACUCCAAGUGGCUUAAUGAGCCAAACUUUGUGUCGUCGUACGAUAUCGGCAACUUCACCUACUUCUUCUUUCGGGAGUAUGCGGUGGAGCACGACUGCGGUCGCACCGUCUUCUCCCGGGCGGGCCGCGUGUGCAAGAACGACAUCGGCGGGCGCUUCCUACUGGAGGACACGUGGACGACCUUCAUGAAGGCCAGGCUCAACUGUUCCCGACCGGGAGAAAUCCCCUUUUACUACAACGAGCUGCAGGGGACCUUCUACCUGCCUGAGCUGGAGCUGCUCUACGGCAUCUUCACCACCAAUGUAAACAGCAUCGCUGCCUCUGCCGUGUGUGCCUUCAAUCUCAGUGCCAUAUCCCAGGUCUUCAACGGACCCUUCAAAUACCAGGAGAACUCUCGCUCAGCCUGGCUGCCAUACCCCAACCCCAACCCGGACUUUCAGUGCGGCACCAUCGACUCGGGCUCCUACGUCAACCUGACUGAGAGAAACCUGCAGGAUGCUCAGAAGUUCUUACUGAUGCACGAGGUGGUCCAGCCCGUGGCUCCUGUGCCCUACUUCAUGGAGGACAGCGUCCGUUUCAGCCACGUCGCCGUGGAUGUGGUGCAGGGCAAAGACAUGCUCUUUCACAUCAUCUAUUUAGCUACUGAUUACGGCACGAUCCGAAAAGUCCUCUCCCCCCUCAAUCAGUCCACCGGGAGCUGCCUUUUGGAAGAGAUCGAAUUGUUCCCACCCAGGAAAAGGCAGCCCAUCCGGAGCCUGCUGAUCCUGCACAGCCGGAGCGAGCUGUACGUGGGAGUACGAGACCAGGUCAUCAAGAUCCCCCUGAAGAGGUGUAGCUACCACAAGGGCAGAGAAGCAUGCGUCGGGGCUCGAGAUCCUUACUGUGGUUGGGACCUGCUCCUGAAGAAGUGCACCACCUUAGAGGAGAGCGCCCGAAUGAGCCAAUGGGAGCAGAGCAUUACAAAGUGCCCUGUCCGUAAUGUGACAGUGGAUGGAGGUUUCGGAGCCUGGUCCGGGUGGUCCGCUUGUAGCCAUAACGACGGCGGAAACGCCGGGUCCUGUUUGUGUCGGACGCGGGCUUGCGACAGCCCCGCCCCGCAGUGUGGCGGCCAGAAGUGUCACGGGAUCAGCGUUGAGGUGGCUAACUGUUCCAGAAACGGAGCAUGGACUCCCUGGACUUCCUGGUCCCCAUGCAGCACCAGUUGUGGUAUCGGCUUCCAGGUCCGGCAGCGCUCCUGCAGCAACCCGACGCCUCGCCACGGCGGACGAGUGUGUGUGGGGCAGAACCGCGAGGAGAGGUACUGCAACGAACACCUGCCCUGCCCUCCUCACGUCUACUGGUCCGCCUGGUCGGCAUGGGAACGCUGCAACGUGCCCUGCGGCGGAGGCAUCCAGUCGCGGCGGAGGAACUGUGAGAACGGCGACGACUGUCCCGGGUGUGGUCAGGAGUACCAGCCUUGCAACAGCCAGCCUUGCCCCGACUUGAAGAAGACCACCCCCUGGACUCCGUGGACGCCGGUGAAUAUUUCCGAUAAUGGCGGCCACUACGAGCAGCGCUUCCGUUACACGUGCAAGGCUCGCAUUCCCGACCCGAAUUUGCUGGAGGUGGGCAGGCAGAGGAUCGAGAUGCGCUACUGUUCCAGCGAUGGUUCUACCGGAUGCUCCACUGAUGGCGAGGUUCUUCAUCUGGGGAAGGUGUCGGGACGCACGGUGAACGGCGGCUGGUCGUCGUGGUCUUCCUGGUCGCAAUGCAGCCGAGACUGCAGCCGCGGGAUCCGCAGCCGGAAGCGGACUUGUAGCAACCCGGAGCCCAAGUAUGGAGGUCAGACCUGCCAAGGGGCGGCGCAGGAGUACCAGGAGUGCAACGUCACCCCUUGUCCUGUGGAUGGCAGCUGGUCCUGCUGGUCUUCAUGGUCCAAGUGCUCCGUGACGUGCGGAGGAGGACACUACAUGAGGACUCGAACUUGCAGUAACCCCCCGCCCGCUUACGGAGGUGACAUCUGCCUUGGCUUGCACACCGAGGAGGCACUAUGCAACACUCAAGCCUGUCCAGAGAGCUGGUCCAGCUGGUCUCAGUGGUCCCGGUGUGACUCCAGGGGUGCCCAGUUGCGUGUCCGUCACUGUGAUGUCCUGUUUCCCACCGGCAACCAGUGCUCGGGAAACAGCAGCGAGAGCAGGCCGUGCCCGCCUGACUCCAACCUGAUACCAGAAGUCUCCAUCGCACGCUCCAGUCAGGAGGAGAGGCGCUGCGGAGACUUCAACCUCUUCCACAUGAUCGCCGUGGGUCUUAGCAGCUCCAUCCUGGGAUGCCUGGUCACCCUGCUGGUCUACUCGUACUGCCAGCGCUACCAGCAGCAGGCGCACGACGCCACCGUCAUCCACCCCAUCUCCGCUGCGCCGCUCAACACCAGCAUCACCAACCACAUCAACAAGCUGGACAAAUACGACACGGUGGAGGCCAUCAAGCCCGACGUUUCCGUUCUGUUGCCCCUGGACGAGCCCGCCAUGCACCAGCCAGUCUCUGCUCACAUGGGGGUGUCCAUGCGGGGACUGGAGAUUUUCUACUAACCUCUGACCUCUCAACAACAUCCCGCCUUUUGACUCCCCCAUCCCUCCCCAACCCUCCCUUCACUUACCCGGCAACUCUCCGACCCCAAAAACACCGCCACUGCUACUACUACUACUUGAACCCUCACCCCACACCCACCCACCGCCACCAACACCACCGUGCCCCUUCCACUUCCUGUGGCACUUCCUGUGCUUGACAGGCCUUCAACAAAAACAAUCUGAUUCUGGAGGAACGCAAGAAGUACUUCAACCCGCAACUAGCCGGGAAGACCUACACCAACGCAUACUUCACCGACCUCAACACCUACGACGACUAUUAAGACCGAUUCUGCCAAACCAAAACCUCCUUCGCCGUCCCGUCUUGACUUGAAAUCCUUCUGGUGUUUUUUUUUUGGUUUUUUUUCGUAUGGAGAUUCGUGACACCACGCGUGGGGCAGCCUCGCUCUGAGACUCUUGGCAGCGGAAAAACAAAACACUGGUCGUCAUGCCAACAGAGCGGCCCACUCUCUCAGGUGCCUUGCGGUACACUCGGAAAGGAGUACGUGGAAAAAAAAAAAACAUGAAGUUUGGGACGGGAAGUUUGGGAACUGUGCGAUGACUCGUCUGAAAGAGCUGCAGUUGCAUGACUCCCAUCCAUGACAUCUUUCAGUUUGCAUGAUGGCAUUCCAUGCUUUUUUUUUGUUUGUUUUUUUUGAUUGACAGGAAUUAGGAUGUAGAUAUUUCAAGCCAGCCACUUGUUUCAAAAAGGGAUUGCAAAAAAAAAUAUUUUAAUUCAGUGUCUUCAGUGUAUUCUGAAAAUGAAAUGCAGUACGCAUAUCAGCCUGUAUCAAUUCAGUCCCAUCACGGUACUUUUUUAUAUUUUUUGUAAAAAACAAACAAACAAAAAAACAACAAAUGUAAAGAUAAUAGUGGUUGCUAUUUUUUUGUCUUUGUAUCUGUGGGAGCAGGAUGUGAACGAAGCGCAUUGACUGUAGCAAACAUCCUCACCUCGCCGAGUGGAGCGCCAGCCAGCCAGCCACCACCCGCAAGAUUUCGAGGAAAUAUUAAUUCAACGUGCAUAACCAAAUAUUAGGUUAUUGAGUUGCCACUAACUCUUUUUACAUGUCUGCUUGUGUCACUGUGCUUAAAUUAAACGCUGCUUCGUACACAUUGCGCUUGUCGGGGUGCUAUAAUGUGGACUAAAAGGUUCUAGAAUGGCACAAUUAAUGUUUUUUUUUAUUUAACAAAAUCAUCUAGUGCAAGUGGUUAGCGCGCAGAACCUCACAGCUAAGAGACCGGGGUUCAAUUCCACGUGCAUGCGUGGGUUUUCUCCACAUUCCAAAAACAUGCUAGGUUAAUUAGCGACUCCAAAUUGUCCAUAGGUAUGAAUGUGAGUGUGAAUGGUUGUUUGUCUAUAUGUGCCCUGUCAUUGGCCGGCUGGCGACCAGUCCAGGGUGUACCCCGCCUCUCGCCCAAAGACAGCUGGGAUAGGCUCCAGAAAAUGAAUGAAUGAAUGAAUGAAAAUAUAACAAAAAUUAUUAUUAUUAGCAUUAGCAUUAUUAGCAUUCAAGCUGGGAUAGGCUCCAGCACCCCCCACAACCCUCGUGAGGAUAAGCGGUAGAAAAUGAAUGAAUGAAUGAAUAUUGGUCCAAUUGCUUCAAUCUGAUUGUAAAGUGGCUAUAGGGGUGUUAUUUUAUGUCUAGAGGGCUCUAAUGUUGAAAAUCGUAUUAAGAGGGUUGUCAAAUGGUUUUCUAUGAUAUGAAAGUAUUACAAUCCUAAUUAAGGAAUGUUAUGAUUUCAUAAGGGCGAGUAUGGCGAGUGGUUAGCACACAGACCUCACAGCUAGGAGACCAGGGUUCAAUUCCAUCCUCGGCCAUCUCUCUGUGUGGAGUUUGCAUGUUCUCCCCGUGCAUGCGUGGGUUUUCUCCGG